AUUGAACGCUGGCGGCAUGCUUUACACAUGCAAGUCGAACGGUAACAGGCCUCAGGUUGCUGACGAGUGGCCAACGGGUGAGUAAUGCAUCGAUACGUGCCCAACUGUCUGGGGGAGGGAGUCGACAAAGUAGCAAAUAACCCAAUCGCGCUUUGGAUGGAAGCGGGGAAGCGGAGGGCCUCGCGCGAUCUGGCCAUCCGAUGUCAGAUUAGGUAGUUGGUGGGGUAACGGCUCACCAAGGCAACGAUCUGUAGCUGGUCUGAGAGGACGACCAGCCACACUGGAACUGAGACACGGUCCAGACUCCUACGGGAGGCAGCAGUGGGGAAUAUUGCACAAUGGGCGCAAGCCUGAUCCAGCCAUGCCGCGUGUAGGAAGAAGGCCUUCGGGUUGUAAACUGCUUUUGUACGGGACGAAGCGGCUAUGGUUAAUACCCGGGGCUAUUGACGUUACCGUAAGAAUAAGCACCGGCUAACUACGUG
rnacentral:rRNA from 1 species